GACGAACGCUGGCGGCGUGCCUAAUACAUGCAAGUCGAACGCAGUGGGGACGGGUGAGUAACACGUGGGUACCCUCCCCAUCAGAGGGGACAACACUUGGAAACUGGUGCUAAACCGAUAUUGAUGGAUGGACCCGUGGUGCAUUAGCUAGUUGGUGGGGUACCGGCUCACCAAGGCCACGAUGCAUAGCUGACCGGAGAGGUUGAUCGGCCACACUGGGACUGAGACACGGCCCAGACUCCUACGGGAGGCAGCAGUAGGGAAUCUUCGGCAAUGGACGAAAGUCUGACCGAGCAAUGCCGCGUGAGUGAAGAAGGUUUUCGGAUCGUAAAGCUCUGUUGUUAGAGAAGCGGUAUCUAACCAGAAAGCCACGGCUAACUACGUGCCAGCCGCCGCGGUAAUUC
rnacentral:rRNA from 1 species